GAGGAAUAAGGUAUAAAAGAAGCUGCUAACUGUCUUUUAAAGCGGUUAAACUCCGUUUUUUCCUUA
rnacentral:tRNA from 1 species